CCUACGGGAGGCAGCAGUGAGGAAUAUUGGUCAAUGGGCGCGAGCCUGAACCAGCCAAGUCGCGUGAGGGAAGACGGUCCUAUGGAUUGUAAACCUCUUUUGUCGGGGAGCAAAAGACGCCACGCGUGGCGUUCCGAGAGUACCCGAAGAAAAAGCAUCGGCCAACUCCGUGCCAGCAGCCGCGGUAAUACGGAGGAUGCGAGCGUUAUCCGGAUUUAGUGGGUUUAAGGGGUGCGCAGGCGGAAGAUCAAGUCAGCGGUAAAAUUGAGAGGCUCAACCUCUUCGUGCCGUUGAAACUGGUUUUCUUGAGUGAGCGAGAAGUAUGCGGAAUGCGUGGUGUAGCGGUGAAAUGCAUAGAUAUCACGCAGAACACCGAUUGCGAAGGCAGCAUACCGGCGCUCAACUGACGCUCAUGCACGAAAGUGUGGGUAUCGAACAGGAUUAGAUACCCGAGUAGUC
rnacentral:rRNA from 1 species